AAAGGCGAGGUAAGAGCUCACCGGCGUACAGGCGACUGUGCGGCCAUGUAAACCCUAUCCGGAGCAACACCGCAAGAGAGCGUUAAUGCUUGCUCGGCAGCUCUCACAGGUGGCAGGGAGGUAAGCGGCGACGCUUAUCCAAGAUAGAUGAUUGUUCAAGACAGAACCCGGCUUACAGGAGCGUGUUGCCA
rnacentral:RNase_P_RNA from 1 species